ensembl:lncRNA
CUCGCUAGUGUCCUCCUAAGCUGCCCUUCCUGUCUGUGAGUCUUUCUCAGAACUGAUAUCUUAGUAUUGUGUUUUCAGUGUUGCCUAAAUUCUGUGUCAGUGAAAUACUUUUUCUGGCUAAUUAAUUCCUAACAUCUUUAUUGUUCUCUGGACCUUCAAAGGGCUCCGUAUUUUAUACCUGUUCUCUCCCUAGGCUGCUCAUGGUCAGUUUCACGGCUGCCUUGUAGAUCACAUCUCUCCCGGUCCCCAGAAACAGCUUCCGAGCACUCGGUGCUGGUUUGUUCUUCAUGGUGAAGGGACUUAGUUGGCCAUGAGCAGACCUAGGUGUCUCCCCCCAGUGCUCCCUCCAGGCGUGUCUGACCCCCGCAUCCCUCGAGGGGUGAGUCCAGAGUCCUCCAGGUGGCCGAAGUCGUACUUCAAUCAUGUUUUCUCUUGGAUGCCUGUAAGAUGCACCCUACCGUGGAGCCGCUUGUCGGCAAGGGGGCAGGUUGCCCGAGGCACCCAGCUAUGCAGUGGAGGUGGAAGACUCGAGGCAGGCCGGAAGGCGACAUUAGUCCCAGCCCCUGUGCCUCAGCUUCACAACUGGUGGUUUUUAAAAACAACAGCAGAGGUGUGAGGGCUGGGUCUUGCAGUGACUCUGACCUUUGGGGUCAGGGUUUUGUCCAGCAGCCUUGCCGAUCCAGCACUUCUCCUGUUUCAGAGAAGGACCUAGAGGGCAUACCUUGAUCGCCAGGACUUAGCCACAGGUCUUCCUGGAAGGGGGCUGAGCCUCCACUGAUGCCAGGUAGAGCUGGCUAGGCCUAGAGGUCAGGAGUUUCCUGGGCUCUAGAAGUGACUUGACCUUUGACCUAUGAAUUGUGUAAGCCUCUGUGGUCUUAGUAUUGUUUCUGAGAGCUCUACCUGCCCUUUUCCACUUUCUCGGCUGCAGGAGGGAAGAACAUAGAAGACCAAGUGGGAGGAGUGUCAGAAAAGCAUUACUUACUUACCUUGGUAAAUGAAACAAUUCAUGGUUCGUUCUUAAAUCUAUCAAGUUUAGUUAAAUUUAAUAUUUUACAAUUCAAUUUUCAAGUGAUUAUUUUAAAAAGUCCAUUACUUGUUCUCAGGCUCCUCUUAAUACUAGGCUCAGUGUUGAUGCUAUAAAAUAUUUCUUGAUGGUCUACCUCCCGUGGAAGAGUUCUAAACCACCUUGGGAGAGUCAGCAGCAGUGCUUCCUGUAACUCCUUGGGGCUGUAGGGGGCUGUCGUGUGCGGUGGCUCUGCAUCCCGUAUUCCAUGGCAUUCCAUGGAAUGAAUGAAGUAGGUGGCAGGGCAGAGGAUGCCACCCUCAUUCAGUAGACUGGUGUCUGCUGCUCAGAGAGGUUGUCCAGGGUUAAAGAAUAAGUAGGUGGUGAUGCGGAGUGAUUCCUGGGCCUGCAUUCUUCCCCAGGCCCCAGGCUGCCGCCUCUGGGAGAAGAAAGACUGGUUUGACCUUUCUGUCAAGUAGCCGGUGUUUGAGACCCUGUAGGCUGCCAGCUGGAAAAACAGUAAGAAGGCCUCUCAGCCAUCCUGGAUGAAGGGUCAGCAUUGUUCUGGCAGGCGUAGCGGGCCAUGGCUGUAUCUCCAGGGACUCUGGGGGCCUCUUGCAGCUUUUGGUGUCCGUGAGAGGAGGGAUGGUUUUGCUUUAUUGCCUGGGCUUAUUGUGGCACGUGGGGAAUAUGAUCCACGCAUAGAAGCCCCUGAGGCUCUGAGCGCACCCCGCCACCGCCAGGUCCAUGCCCCUCCCCCCAGGCCCUGGGCCCGGGCACCACCCCCUCUCAGGCCCAGCCUGCCUCCCACAUACCUCUGAGACACCGCGUCCUUUGGAGGUCCCUCCCCAGUUCCGCCUCCCCACCAGCCCUUCCACGUCCCCACCUGUCCUUCCUUCCGUCCGUCCGUCCAUCCAUCCCUGGGCCCAUCUCCUCUCAUCUCCCAAUGGUAGUUUGUUUGGUUAGUUACUCAGACUCCAUUUCUGCAUUAUCUACCUCUCCAUUAUUCCCCAUGUCCUCCAGAUCCUUGAGAUUAAAAUAACCUGAAAGGAACUCUGUUUGUCGCUAUUCCACCCCCCCCCCCCAACGCUUGCCACCCUUCACUACCCUGUCUGCAAACUUGGCCUCCACCCCACCACGUGGCAAUAGUCUAGGAAAGUCAUCGGAGACCGCCCAGUUGCCAAAUUCAGAGGCCUUUUCCCAAUCCUUAAUCUCCGUGUCCACAUUCAGUGACCGUAGCGUGACAUCGUUGACCUUAUUUCCCUAUUUUCUGAGAUUUCCCUCACUCCUAAACAGUCUUCAUCCCUCUUCCUUCUUUUACCUAAAGGCCAGUUCAACAGGUGGUUCUCAAACCUUGGACCAGCUAUGGGACUCACAGCGGGGAGGGCAGCUGUUAGUAAAAAUGCAGAUUGCUGGGCACUACCCCCAGAGAUGUUUAUGCAGUAGCUCUGGAGUAAAGCCUGGGAAUCUGCGACUUCAGCAAGCUCCCUGGAUGGUUCCCAUGCGGGUGGCCCAGGGACCACAUUUUGAGAAGCCCUCACCCUUAGGGGCCAGCACACUUCCCUGACUCCCACCGCCCCUCUUUGCAAUGGCUUCCAGUCCCAGCUCCAGCCCUGCCCUUCACGAGUUCAUUUCUAGCUCUACCUAGAAGCCCUGGGACAUCUUCAGACCCACUGUCCCCCAGACACUGGGCCUGUGUCUGUUCCUUGCUCUCCUUUCCCGCCGCCCCCCACCCUGCCACAAGAUCUCCUUGUCCACCCUUGUCCCUUUUUGGCCACUGCCCCCCAGUCACGCUCUCAUGGCCUCCCUGUGGGCGUCAGAGGCUGACCAAUCAGCCCGCCUCUCAGCUUUCCCCCUCUCCCUCCCAGACUCCACAACCGCUAGAUUUAUCUUCUAAGAACACAUUUCUGCACACCCUUCUUCUUGUUCAGUGAUCAGUGGCUCUCUUGACCAGAGCGUCAAGUUCAGACCUCCCUGAGCUUAGUAUCCUUGGCUGUCCACCUCCCAGUUGUACCUGACUGCCCACUUUGUAUAGCCCACCUGCCCACUCACUGCAGCCACCCAAUUUCCUCUGUUACCUGUGAGCUCCCACCUCUGAGUGCAUCUCUUCUCUGCUAGAAAUGCCCUUUCUCCCAAAUGGCGUCCCCGCUCAAAGGCCCAGCCCUGCGUCCUCUGUACCCUCGCCUAAAGCUUCUGACAGAAGCAGCCUCAUGGCGUUCUGUGACCCCAUAGCAUUUGUGUCUUGCUUUCGGCACUCGCCACUCUGGCUGGUGUCACCGCAGCUGAUUGUGUACCGUGUCUUACCUCCUUUUCUAGACUGUGAGCUCCUCGUGGGCAGGGCUGUCUGUGUUCACUCUCUGUAUUUCCCACAGUACCUAGCACAGUGCCUUGCACUUAAUAGGUGCUGAAUAAAGUCUGCUCAAUUGAACUGG